UACGUAGGGGGCAAGCGUUGUCCGGAUUUAUUGGGCGUAAAGAGCGUGUAGGCGGCCUGAAAGGUCAGCUGUGAAAACUCGAGGCUCAACCUCGAGACGUCGGUUGAAACCAUCUGGCUAGAGUUCGGUAGGGGAGUCUGGAAUUCCUGGUGUAGCGGUGAAAUGCGCAGAUAUCAGGAGGAACACCGGUGGCGAAGGCGGGACUCUGGGCCGAUACUGACGCUGAGGAGCGAAAGCGUGGGGAGCAAACAGG
rnacentral:rRNA from 1 species